rnacentral:misc_RNA from 1 species
AACGCAUAUUGCGCCCUCUGGCAUUCCGGAGGGCACGCCCGUCCGAGCGUCAUUUCCACCCCAAGCCGUGGGCUUGUCGUUGGGCGCCGCCCGCCAGGGCGCGCCUGGAAACCGUCGGCGCCUUCGAGGGCCUCCGAGCGCACAGAGCCCAGCCGCCCGCGCCCGGAGGCCUGCCGCAGGCCGCCUGCCCUUCACCUCCAAAGAACGGCCUCGGAUCGGGCGGGGUUACCCGCUGAACUUAA